GAUGAACGCUGGCGGCGUGCCUAAUACAUGCAAGUCGAGCGAACGGACGAGAAGCUUGCUUCUCUGAUGUUAGCGGCGGACGGGUGAGUAACACGUGGAUAACCUACCUAUAAGACUGGGAUAACUUCGGGAAACCGGAGCUAAUACCGGAUGAUAUUUUGAACCGCAUGGUUCAAAAGUGAAAGACGGUCUUGCUGUCACUUAUAGAUGGAUCCGCGCUGCAUUAGCUAGUUGGUAAGGUAACGGCCCACCAAGGCGACGAUGCGUAGCCGAGCUGAGAGGGUGAUCAGCCACACUGGAACUGAGACAGGGUCCAGACUCCGACGGGAGGCAGCAGUGGGGAAUAUUGGACAAUGGGCGCAAGCCUGAUCCAGCCAUACCGCGUGGGUGAAGAAGGCCUUCGGGUUGUAAAGCCCUUUUGUUGGGAAAGAAAAGCAGCAGGUUAAUACCCCGCUGUUCUGACGGUACCCAAAGAAUAAGCACCGGCUAACUUCGUG
rnacentral:rRNA from 1 species